GGCUGCAAGGAGGAAGCCCCCGGGGCUGAGGGACCCCAGCCUGCUGUUCCUCCCCGCCCCACCGCCCCCGCCAAGGCUCUGCAGGGACCGGCCCCAGGCUCAGCUGCUUUGUGCCAGGCGGUUUCGCUGGUCACCCAGCCCGGCCCGUGGGGCCUUCGCAGGCAGGGGCGCAACUGCUGUGCCCACCACCAAGCCCAGGGCUGGCACCGGAUCCAGGCGUAACAACAACUUGUGGAACCGUGCUGUCGCUCAUUUUCAGACCUCAUCUCCCUCUGAGCCCCAGGAAGGGUGGAUGAAGCCAUGCUGGCUUCGCAGAGGAGGAAGCUGAGGAAAAGCAACUGAGGCUUGUGAUGGCCUAGUGAAUGGCCACAGCCCCACAGUGCUGUAGGCGCCCACGCCUCCCACACCUGUCUCCGGACGUUGUCCUGGAUCUGCUCGAACUCCCAGUGGAUGUCAGCGUCAGCCCCUCGCAGCCAGGCCAGGGCCUGCAGCGCCUCCGAGUCCCUGCCCCUCGAGAGCAGGAAGCGAGAUGGAGGAGGCUGAAUCAGACCCUAUUCUGCUGAGUGGAUGUGCCACAUAUAUUUUACAACCGACUCUUUGUCGUUGAACAUUUGGGUUAUUUCCAAAUUUUAGCUCUCAAAAUAGCAAAGUGUUUAAAAAAGUUGUUACAGUUCUCUUUUAUAAUCAUCAAAAUGUAACCACAUAUAUUAGAAUAGAGAAAACAGAGAUGUGGGAAGGCCACAUCCAUUGCCAACAGCCUCACCCUGCUGGAAUCUUAGUGUCUUUCCUUCCUCUCGUUUCCCCAUGUGUCUGUUUUGUGUGUUUGCCCAUUGAGUGUGCAUCUGAUUGUGUGACCACUUCACACUGUGUUUUAAGCAUUUGCUUGCCGUCAAGGGUAUAGUCUGUGGACUCAGGCACACCCAAUAAGUGGUGACCCUUGCUGUAAUGUUGCAUCGUCCUCGUGACCAUAUUUUGAAAAUUGAGAUGUAACACAUCAAAACCGAGCCGGACCUCGUGGGGCCUUCCCGGGACAGACUGCCCCCUCCAUGUCCUCCGCCUGCCUUUUGUCUGUAGGACAACUUUAUCCACAGAAUAAAUUUAAUCAGAGAAGUGAAAAAAUGCAGAAGCAAAGAAAAGCAAACAGGACAAAAUAAUAGUGUUUCGUCAUUAAACAAAGUCAAGGACCUUUAGUUCCUCCUCAAAGGCUAUGGAUAACAUUCUGAGUCAUACCCUUUGAGCUGUUUUGCCAAUACUGAAACCCCCACUCGGUGGAAAGGGUUAACUCCGUGAAGACCACACUGUAGCCAUGACAUAAACUGUUCCAUCUCCAUUCCAAGAACUGGCCUGAAAGAAAUGGGCACAAACCAGCCCUGGAACUGAAGAUUAAGCUGUGCUUAAAACAAGACACUGAUGAGCCCACCGCAAGACCAAUUUCAAGACAACUGUCGGCGCCGACUGUGCUGUUUCUGCAUGUAGACCCUUCCCUUCCCAAGACCCCCGCAACUCCCCUUUAAAGGCUCUGAUUGGCAGGCGGAGUUGGCUUUUGGACACACAAGUCUGCCUUCUCCCCCCGGGUUGCUGGCCUCCUGUAUGAAGCAACCUUUCCUUUCCUACCAACACCUGUUUCUUGAGUAUUGGCUUUCAAGCUUCGAGCAGCCAGACCUGAGCUCCGUAACAUCUUAAAGGUGCAGCUCAAUGAAUAAAAUUCUGUGCGCACCCAGGAGUCACGGCUCAGAUCAAGAAAGCAGCUUCUGAUCACCCCCAGAAAAUCCCAAGUAUUCCUUCCCAGUCAUGCCCACCCUCCUGAGGUCCCGUCACUCUGAUUUCUGUCAUUGUGGAUUAGAUUUUCCCGCCCUUGAACCUCUUGAAUGGAAUCCUGCUCUUGUUUCUGGCUUUUUUUUUUCCUUUAAAGUCAGCUUUAUUGAGGGACAAUCUACACACAGUAAAAUGGACCCAUUUUAAGUGUGUAGACUGAUGAGUGUUGGCAGCUGUAUCACGCAGUGGCCCCCCAGUCAGGCGUAGAACAUUUCCAUCCUCCAAGAAGUAUAUUGGUGCCCCUUCCCGGUCAACACUCCUCCUCCAUCCCUAAGACACCACUAAUCAUCUUUCUGUGACUGUACAUUAAUCUUUCCUAGAGUUUCAUAGAAAGAGAACCAUAUAUUAAAUGCUUUUUUCUGGCUUCUUUUACUCAGUACAUCUAUGAGUUUCAUCCGUGCUGUGUUUUCUAGUGGCUUGUUCUCUUUUUGUUGCUGUGUGUGUUAAGUUCUAUCCUUUGAUGGGUGGUUGGGUUUCACGAAGCUCGGGGCAAGCCACCCCCAAAUAUGCCAAAGGGGCAGACUGAUUAUGCUGAAUUAAAGUUACUUGAGAAACAGUGGAGGCAAGAAGGGCACUCUGACCCUCCUCUCUGUCCCCCUGAAAGCAGAAAAUAAAUCUCCCAUGUGGAAUAUACCCUUCCUGCACCGGGAGGUAGAGAGACAUCCUUAUCACCAGAGAUGGGGAAUUCCAGGCAAGAAGGCUGUGUAACAAACUCUGCCUAGUUUCUUCGCUAAUGAGUACCCAAACCUAAGUUUCUUCGUCUUGUCAGUGCUUCACAAAUUUGUUGUUUCUUUGUCUAAAAAGCAUAAAAGCUGCCUGCUUUGGUCAUUUCUUUGGGGCCCAUAUCUAUGAGACCUCUUCAUGUAGGAAAUUUAAUUUGUUUUUUUUUUUUCCUUCUGUUAAUCUGUCUUGUGUCAAUUUAACUCUCCUGGACAGGCUAUUUUCAGUUUUGGGCUAAAAGAAUAAAGCUGGUAUGACUCUCCUUGUUCAUAAUCCUGUCUUACCGGCUUUUUAAGGUUCUUGAGUGGACGAACCUGGAUUUGCUCACGAAUCUUCUGUCAUGGGCAUUAAGGUUAUUUCACACCUUUUUGCUUUUAAAAUUAGCAGUGUGAUGAACAUCUUUGCCCUUAAGGGAUAAUUUCCUUCAGCAAAGAUCAUUUCUGUGGUCCUCAGGCCUCUGAACCCUCCUAUCUUCUCUCCUGCCCACUCUCAUCUGGGUCAGCCCCAGAUGGGCUGCUCUGGAACCUGGCCUCUGGGGGUGGGGUGGGACUAUCCCCCCCUCCCUCCCACCCUGCGCCUGGCACAGCAUGGGCACACAGCCAAUGCCAGGAGACCCCUUGCUGGCUUGAAUUUAGAGCCUGCCCUUCUUCCUUAGCCUCCCCCAAGUCCCAUGCGGAAGCUAAGCGGCAGCAGGAAGCCCUGGUCUGGGAGUUGAGGGACCUGUCUCUGCUGCGCCCGGGAAAGCCCUGGACACACCCACGCGGGGGCUGGGGCCCUCACUUCCCCGCCUCGCAGCUCCGGCCACUCCUUGGGGGAAGCCCCAGAGGGGGUGGCUGCUUUAGCGGAAAGAGCCCCUAGUUGAUCCAUUCAGGCUGCCACUCACUGGUGUCUGUCCCUGGGGAGUCUGGCAGCUCCGGGGCAGCCCUCUUCCAGGACAUGGGAGCCCCAAUGGCUGGAAGUUCUAGUCCCUCCGGACGAGGCUGCUGGCUUUCAACUGCCCCAGAAACUAGCCUAGCUGCAUUCCAGACCCCCUGGCGCAGGGGAAAAGGUCCUGACUUCCAGCCCCUGUCAUCUCAAGGGAGAAGGGGAAGAAGCAGAUGGGGUGCCUGUCCUCAGCCGUCCCCGACCUUUGAAGGCUUCGUCUCAGAAUGCGCAGAAUGUCUGUCUGGGGAGCGCAGCCCAGAGAAAGUCCGUGACCCAGGAGGCCAGUGGAGGCCAGGGUCUCAGGGGCUGUCUGUGGUGGAAAAACUGAGGCUCCGGAGCUCACAGAUUAGCUGCCCAAGGAAAGGGCUCGUCUCAGAAGCCUGCCUGUCUUUCGCUUUGUCACAGCUCGAGAGAGGCAUGGACAUAUAUACACUACCAGACGUAAGGUAGAUAGCUAGUGGGAAGCAGCCGCAUAGCACAGGGAGAUCAGCUCGGUGCUUUGUGACCACCUAGAGGGGUGGGAUAGGGAGGGUGGGAGGGAGGGAGACACAAGAGGGAAGAGAUAUGGGAACAUAUGUAUAUGUAUAGCUGAUUCACUUUGUUAUAAACAGAAACUAACACACCAUUGUAAAGCAGUUAUACCCCAAUAAAGAU